CCCCCGGUGGCGCAGUCGGUUGCGUGCCGGCUUGCAACACCGGAGCUCCGGGGUUCGAGUGCCAUGCCAGGGAC